rnacentral:rRNA from 1 species
GGCGGCGCGCUUACACAUGCAAGUCGAACGAGAAAGCCCGCAAGGGUGAGUAAAGUGGCGUACGGGUGAGUAACACGUGGAUCAUCUACCUCCUGGUGGGGAAUAACUCUGGGAAACCGGAGCUAAUACCGCAUAAUCCUGCGAAGGAAAAGCAGAAAUGCGCCGGGAGAGGAGUCCGCGGCCGAUUAGCUAGUUGGUAGGGUAAUGGCCUACCAAGGCGAUGAUCGGUAGCCGGCCUGAGAGGGCACACGGCCACACCGGCACUGAAACACGGGCCAGACUCCUACGGGAGGCAGCAGUGGGGAAUCUUGCACAAUGGGGGCAACCCUGAUGCAGCGACGCCGCGUGAACGAUGAAGCCCUUCGGGGUGUAAAGUUCUUUCGGCAGGAACGAUAAUGACGGUACCUGAAGAAGAAGCUGCGGCUAACUACGUGCCAGCAGCCGCGGUAAUACGUAGGCAGCAAGCGUUGUUCGGAGUUACUGGGCGUAAAGAGUGUGUAGGCGGUGCUCUAAGUUUGGUGUGAAAUCUCCCGGCUCAACUGGGAGGGUGCGCCGAAAACUGGAGUGCUUGAGUGUGGGAGAGGAAAGCGGAAUUCCUGNUGUAGC